rnacentral:rRNA from 1 species
UACGGGGGGGGCAAGCGUUGUUCGGAAUUACUGGGCGUAAAGGGUGCGUAGGCGGUUUGCUAUGUCGGAUGUGAAAACUCUGGGCUCAACCCAGAGCCUGCAUCCGAAACUGGCGAGCUAGAGUUCUGGAGGGGGUAGCGGAAUUCCUGGUGUAGCGGUGAAAUGCGCAGAUAUCAGGAAGAACACCCGUGGCUAAGGCGGCUCUCUAGUACGGUACUGACGCUGAGACGCGAAAGCGUGGGGAGCGAACAGG